UUUACUCUACAUGAACUUCUUGCAGGUUGUUGGAGCUCUUCUAGUGUGUUGUGUGUUUGUGGUUGUCGUGAUGGUCGGCACCAUCGGUCAGCUUGGUGUGUGUGUGAAAGACUCCCCUGACUCUGAUGUGUACAACUCAUACUUACCUGGCAAGGGAGAUACCAUGAUCAAGAAGGUGGUUCACCCAGGGCGAGGCUUAGCCAUUGCACUCCGGUUGAGCUGACCUCUGCGAAUUCCCCAAAUGUGGGAAUCUCGAUUGCAUAAUUUCUGGUAGUGGGGGACUGCGUUCGCGCUCUCCCCUGAUAACAUGUCAAUAGAAAAAUAUAUUCUAUUCAGUGAUGGCAAUGUGAGGCUUUCUGAACCAGUGAAGCUUUUGAGCCUGCCAGUAUAUUGUGGACAUGACUAUGAAAAGUUGAACCAAUAAAUCAUCUUAUAAACACAUGGAUUCCUCUCCUAGUGAGACAGGCAGACUGAAUCGAGUAACGUUUAACGUGUCUAAAGUGCUAAGAAACAAACAAACACACAUCCAUACCGAUUUGUACUUAAAUCCAAUGUGCAAUUUCCAAGUAUCGAUACAAUCGAUUAUGUACCAUUUUAAUCGAUAUAUGUCGUCCGGAAUGCUGAUUUGCGGCGCACAGAUUUAUUCAGUUGGAUCGCAGGAAUAUUAAUCGAUUCACUGAAUGAAUUGUUACACCCCUACUGCUCACAUGUUUUUCUAAACUGAUUUUAGCAAUUAAGAAGAAAACUCAUUUGUCUGGCCCCCGGGGGGCAACCAGCUCCAGACUUCAGCCCAGCUGAGAAAUUGGCCCUUGACAUAAACCAAGGAAGGCCUGUAAUGAAGGGAUUCACAGACAGACAGCUACUGACUCUGUUCCACCUGCAGCAAGUGCCCUCUUCACACAUGGUACAUUCUCCAGUCUUGCACAUCAAUGAUGUGGAGACGUGUCGCUGGAUUCCAGAAGGCCUGAGGUGUCAUAUAGAUCGUAUGGAAAUGCAUAUUAAGCCCAUAAUGGAUGAGAAGUCUGUUCAGUUCAGUUUAUUGGUUUCUUGUCUGGUGUCUAUAAUGUACACACUUUAGUGCUUUGCUGUGUGUAUUGUUUUGCAAGCUGAAUAAAGUCAUAUGCAACCUGUGUCAUAUGGUAACAUAUGGUUUUGAUAUAUUAGUGCAUCGUUUUUACAGGAGUGUUUAAUUUUGCAAAGGUGUUCCGAGGUGUUUUGUGAAUUGAGUUUGUGGGUGUGCUAUUUUGAAGAACAAAACCAGCCGACCGAAGUCUUAGCCAGCUCGCUCGCUAACAGACGUUAACUCUCCUCCAAACGACAAAGUGGCUUAAUGAAUAAUUAUUGCAAAGAGUAAUUAUUUAUAUUAUUCGCUACUUGCGGCAGACUUGAUAAUUAGCCAUAAUAAUUGGCUGGGAUA
ensembl:lncRNA